rnacentral:rRNA from 1 species
CUACGUGCCAGCAGCCGCGGUAAUACGUAGGUGGCAAGCGUUGUCCGGAAUUAUUGGGCGUAAAGCGCGCGCAGGCGGAUCAGUCAGUCUGUCUUAAAAGUUCGGGGCUUAACCCCGUGAUGGGAUGGAAACUGCUGAUCUAGAGUAUCAGAGAGGAAAGUGGAAUUCCUAGUGUAGCGGUGAAAUGCGUAGAUAUUAGGAAGAACACCAGUGGCGAAGGCGACUUUCUGGACGAAAACUGACGCUGAGGCGCGAAAGCCAGGGGAGCGAACGGGAUUAGAUACCCCGGUAGUCCUGGCCGUAAACGAUGGGUACUAGGUGUAGGAGGUAUCGACCCCUUCUGUGCCGGAGUUAACGCAAUAAGUACCCCGCCUGGGGAGUACGACCGCAAGGUUGAAACUCAAAGGAAUUGACGGGGGCCCGCACAAGCGGUGGAGUAUGUGGUUUAAUUCGACGCAACGCGAAGAACCUUACCAGGUCUUGACAUUGAKGACAGAACUAGAGAUAG